AGCACGACGCGGGGCGACGCGGCGGGAUUGGAGUACAGCGCGGUCUUCUGGAGCGAACAGGCCGAACAGUCCAUCUGUGCCUGAUAUGAAAGACCUUUCAUCGCUACAGUCACAAUUUCUGCCCUCCCGUUUCUCCUGAUUCUGCUAUACUGCUUACAAGAACCGGCCAGGUCUACUGUGGAGUCACCCAGUGAUGUCAAUCAGAUUACCUUUUUCCAUGUUGAGAGAGACAGGAAAACUACUCUACUGUGCACCAGAAAGAAAGGAAAAGCAAUCACUGUAUGAAGACAUCAAUGUUUCCAGGAACUGGAACUUUACAGCUCGUCUACCAACUCUCAGUGCCUCCACUAACAUUCUGUCAGACAUGAAACAAUGGAGUGGAGUGGAAAAUGUUUCCUCACCCUUUUAGAAAAAGCUCUGCAAUCAGACAUCUCCUCCUCUGACUAAGAGCUACUUAACACUGAAACAAAAGCAGGUGCUGUUUGUGACACCAACCCUUCCUCUACUGUUUUGCCCUAUCAGAUCAUGUAGGAAAAUACAUGGUUACAAGACGUGUUAUUCUUGGGAUUUUUGGGGAUUCUUGGGAUAUUCGAGGGAUUGGAAGUCUGUGUACUCACCCACUUCGAGACAAAUCAUGUUGUCUCCUGUUUUCAGGCCUGAGAAACCAUAGUUUCUUUCCCUGUCAACAGUUUUACCUUCAGUAAAGAGCCAGCCACUACCAGACUGUAUUUAUUCACCCAUAGCAGCUCUUCUGUACUGUCCACCGAGUGCUGAUUAGCACCAAAUAAAUACUUGAGGGGGUGCUUUGCAUUUUUUUUUUUCCCCUCUUAUCCUGCAUUCUUUUUUAAUUGUGUAUCCCUUCUGCUCUUCUCCCACAUGUAAGCUACCAGAUAAAAACAUCAUCACCUGCAACUUUCCAGCCACUUCCGCUCUUUGGACUAUUCAUCUGAGACUUGACAGAAUUAAUGACAUUUCAGAAGCAAAAACGGAAGAAGACAGCACACAGUUUGACAGAAUUUGAAAGAAAAAGAUGAGGACUUUGUAGGUUGUCUGAGCUCACUGUCAGACAGGUGAACAGCUUGACAGAGAGAGGCAAGUGGAUAAAGAAGCGAGCAUAUAUGGCUGCCAGCAUGUGGCAGACAGAGAUUCAAAUGCUGGACUGGCUGUCACCAACCAGUGACAGAAUUUGCACCAGAAAUACUGAAGUGGAGCUUGUAAGUGACCGCUUGUGGCAGUACCGUGGAGAACAGCAUCACAGAGCAGAGUCAGACCAGGUAAGAUUUUCAAAUCUAACUUUGUAAAGAAUGGAAGGGAAACAGUGCUCUUUCAGCAAAACAGGAAAGUGAAAUAAAAUAAGAAGUCUCUCUCCUACCACACGGUAACUUAUGCCCCUUCCACCUGCUACAGAACCUAACCUGUAACUAAGAGUGAUUUUAGAAAACCAGUGCCUUGAGCAGAAAGCGGUAAUAAGUGGGAACUGCAUUAACUGACUGCUUUCCUCUAUUCUUGGCAAUUAUUUAUAGUGCUCAAACUAUUUAGAGAGUAUCGUUAACAUUCCUAGUAAUGUUUUUUUCUUAAUAUGCUUUUGACUAAUAGUUGAAAUGUCAGCUGCUGAGGUUGUUUCCAUUUCCAGUCAGAGCCAGAAAGAUAACAGGAGCAGUAAUCCUGGCAUGCCCGGAUUGCUGCAUCUACAUGUCAUCACCUUCCCAUCCAUGUGGGAUACUUCAGGCUUACAGCCAAGACUAAGUUCUAGCAAGGCUUACAUCUUCACUUUUUCCAUGUUUCCAUACUACAUAAAUGGGAAGUUAUGUAUCUACUUACACAAGCUUGCAUGCUGUCAUCGCAAAACUUACCAUUUGGGGUCCAACAUUCACAUUGAUUGGUCCUAAGGUUUUUGGCAAUAUCUUUGUUGGGGAGUUGGUACUGGAAACUGGUAGUGUGAUUACUGAAAUAUUACCUAAAAAAUAAUGUAAUAAAAAGACGGUUUUAAAUGACUUCCUUUGCAAUGUACAAAAAACACUGCUGAAUUCUCACAUCAUUUUUACAUUUUGGAAUCAAAGUAACUUUUUCUGCCUUACACACUGCCACAGAACAGCCACCAGAACUCUUAGCAGAUGUCACAAGGACACCUUACAAAACUGCUAAGCUCCUCUACUUUACCAUUAAAAUUAUGUAGUAGCAUUUCAUUUCCAGAAAGAAUUUCUUCUAGCCUAAGAUGAAGGGCACGCAGCCCACCAUACGCUUCAGCUUUAAAACUCAUGGGUGUACUUUUAGACUCCUAGAAUAUCCUGAGUUGGAAAGGACCCGUAAGGAUGACAGAAACCAAAUGAAACAAGUCUACAUAUUCAUUAAUCCUACUUACAAUCACAAGCAUAUGCACAAGGUAUGUAUCUACAUGUCUUCAUAGCUCUAACCGCUUCUUAUCUGACUAUGCUGAAGUAUCUAAAACAUCAGAAAAGUGCAUCUGUGUCACAGAACAGAGGGAGUAAAUGACACCAUUGCACGUUACCUGAAGUAACUGCAGGUGGCUAGAUGUCAGGGUGAAACCAAUCACUCCAUCUCCAACCCAGCAUGUUUUUAUAACAAGAUGUUUAUUACCUCCUCGACCCUGCACUGCUUACAGAUCUAACUCAUCCUGCCUUCAUACACAGAAGCACAGAUGUAUGCUGAGUACCUCACAAAUGCUGCUGCCGCUCCUCUUCUCCAGACUCCAUCUUUUAAUCUUGAUUACUCAGACUUAAUGCCUUAAUCAGAACUGUCAUGCAGCACUAACACUACUCCACAAAUACUCCAAGUGCUGUACACAAGCCACUGAAAAUGGUGAAAACACUCAUUUAUCUUUGGACACGGUGGCAGUAGCAGCUCCUAUCUGUCAGACAGUUUCAAAGCAAGAGAGCUGCAAAUCAAACACCUCCUUGCACUCUCAUGCACAGCCUCAUUCAAAAUCAAGCGUUAAGAGUGGUGGGUCUGGAGACAGAAUGAAAUACAAGGAAAAGUUGCCACUACCUCAUAACCCACAAAGCCAACUUGGGCCUAGCUGAGGUCAUGAGCCAUAAGGACAAAGACUGACUCCUGAAGAGCUCCUCAGGCUCUCUGGCACUAGCAGACAGAAACUAAAGACAUUCUGAGGUGAUGGUUCCUUCAGCACAACACACAUACCAGCCCUCGCCACCGCCCUGCCCUCCUCCUGCCACAGGCAGACAUUGAGCUUAGUCCAGAUAAGAUCUGGGUUACCCAUGUCUUUUCUCACACUGCUCGAUCACCUCCGCUGCCCACUAUUUUCAUUUAAUUCUGAACUGUGGUUGUUGGUUUUUUUAGUACAGCCAUGUUCAGCCAUGAAAAAAAGUAAUUGUGAAUUCAGUAACGUAACAGCUCUGUAAUACAAAGCAUAAACAACCCAAGAGAGGAAAAAAAAAUACUUAGAAAAGGAUGUUCUUUAUCUGUGGCACAGAAAUAAAAAGGACGCAGCUAUACUUGAAUUCUCACCUGUAUAAAAAAUGAACAGAGAUAAUAGAAUUGUUCACAAUGAGAUGAGGAUGUUUUAACGUUCUGCGCAAAUCCCUUUGGCACCUGGAGUAACACUGCUACUAAGCACUGCUUUUCCAAAAGGCAGAUCUGUAUCUGAGGACACCUUCGGAAUUUAUUCACCUAACUCACCCGGAAGAAAAAAAAUAACAAACCACACACUUGCAAACCCAAACCCCAGAGGAACUCUUGGCUCCAGUAUCAAACAUCUCGUGAGGGAGCGAUGAAGUUCAGAGCGGUUCACAGCUUACAUACACCCUGUUCAUAUACUGAGCCCAGAAGGCUCUCUAACCUGACGAGUUCUUUGCCACUUUUCACUUUUGCUGCAGGAUUUUGCUGAGGAUGUGUUAAGUUGUGCUGGCGCACUCUCAUGCAGCGUUGUUGCAGUCAGUGGCACUGCUGCUCACCUCCCAGGUACUGCUGUAAUUUUUUUUUUCCCCACUGCUGCACCUGAACAUUUCCACACCUUCUCCAAGAUGAGCUCUCAUCCUGUUUCUCCUCGUCUCUUUUUCUUAUCACAAUGAAUUAUUCCUUUGGCACCUCUGAUAAAGUCACAUGCUAAAGCACAGUGCCAUUUUGAAAUGUUGGCAUUCAGCCUCAAGUUUAUCAUUGGGCUACAUCACACAGUUAUUUCCAGCAGCAUUGCUGGGACUGCAGAGGACCAUAGUGUGUAAAACACAGGACUGAAACAUGACACAUUUAUUGCACUGUGCAAUCAGCACUGCUGGUGUACAGUUACAUUUACACAUCCACUCACUGUCCUCUAAAUCAAUCAGUGUGUACGUGGUUUGCGUUUCUCAGCAUGUGGCUUGCAGACUGUAACCCACUGUCAAUAGUUUUUAGUGUAUAUGCAUGUACACACACAAUUCUAUGUACUGCCCACACACAGUCUGAAAACUGUACCUUAAUAAUGAAGACCUACAGGCAACGCUACACACAACCGCCAGAUGUACGGUAGCAGGUCUGGAAAAAUACCGGUUAACAGUUAACAGGUAACUGCUAUCUUCAUCAGUGAGAUCCCCCAGAUAAAUGUACGUGGCCACAGCAGUGUUAAUAAAUACGAGGACUGUUCAAAUAACUGCAUCAUGGUCUUACAAAGACAGUUGCUUAAAUAUGAAGUAUGUACAAGAGCCCUUCUGGCUUCAGUCAGCAACAGAGACCUUACUUCCUCUUUUAAUACCUACACAGAGACAACGGUAUCAGGCUCUUUAUAAGUGAGGCCUCCUAAGCCACCGUGAACAGAAAGAAAGAACAACAAACUUUUACACAGAAGAAUACAAUAGUCCAAACUCUCAUGUGACCUGCAUCACUACACCAAAUACUUCAAAAUGCUACAAAUAUCUAACAGUGGGAACGCAUUUCCAUCUCUUCUCACAGCAAAAGUUAAUGCAGCUCCAGAUACAUCAAUCGCAUCAGCAGCCCAAUCUGACGAAGCACACUGCAAUGGCUGUCACCACUGUCACCCCUCCUCCUCUGCACAGAGUGGUGCAGCUGCUGAGCCCAACCCAGCCCAGGCCCUGCAGCAGCCCGGCUCUGUGGGACACAGCUGCCAUGGAGAUGUGGAGCCACCGCAGUGAGAACGUCACCACUAAGUGCAAGCAGUCAAUUCAACUGCAGCAAGAGAGCUGGCACUGCCUAAGAUAACUACCUGUGUGUUUUGCACCAAAUUUUUGAGGUUACUUCACCUCCUCUUAUUGAAGAUCUGGUAAUUUCUAAAGUUUUGAAGGCAAGGCUGCAUUACCAAACAGUGAGUGUCAACAGGAACCAUCCCUUCAAGUCUUAUUUAUGAAAGUGUAGAAAGAGUACAAAGAAAGAAGUCAUGCUCUUUGCAAAUCAUAAAAAAAAGGCCACAAAAGAUUUCUGUAUUCAACCUGAGGUUGCAACAACACCAAACAAAUUAUAUAUACUUUAUCAUAUAGCAGCUGUAAAGGCUUUAAACGUGAUCCAUGUCCAUAUGAACAUCAAGUCUUAAUAAUGCCCAUCAUAUGGCGGCUAAAAAGGGUGCACCGAAUCACUGCAAAAGAGCGGUGCAUACAGUGGUAAGCUGAGCACAAUGAGACCCAUCAGCUUCCUAGUCACGGUAAUCUUACAGCACGGAUGGAAAAGGUCAGCAUAGAUGGAUCAAACUAGAAUGAUUUGUAUAAUAAUACUCAGUUCUUACGUCACGUUUCUCAGCAGUACAAAGCACAAAAGAAGUCGAUGCCGUUAUUCCCAUUUUACCUAUGGAAAACUGAGCACAUGGGAAAGAAACUGAGUUAAAACUCCCAUAGAGAGGCUUGAAAUACAGAAUAUUUAACAGACCACAAACAGCAUGCUUGCCACUGAAGCAAAUUCAAGAUAAAAACGUGUCAGUGGACACACGCCUGAUUCCCUCAGAACACGAGCACUGUGCUUCUACCAUUGCUUUUCCAUCACUCAGUCACCACUAGUGCUGUUUAUGCUGGAGAAAAAAAUAGUGUUGCUAUUCUUUCAUAUUUAUAAAAACAUGAAUACAUAACUAUUAUGCUUCCUGGCCUGUGUAAAAUGUUGUUACACACACACAAAUGAAAUUGAGGUGGGUUCAGGCAGUUACAGAACAGCGUUAUCCGUGCACAUGUACACACGUGCUUACAUCACACACUAAUGAAUCGGCCCACAUGGCUGUUACAUUUUCACACUGCAUUCUAAAUAGCACAGCCUGACAGAAACAACAUCCAAUCCUGUACAAACAUGGAGCUGAAGAGGUUUCAGCAAAUUUCCAGUUUAAGUAAAUCUGUUAGCUUAUUUGCACAGACCAUCAGAAAUGAUGUAAAGCUUACAAUCUGUUGAGGACAGUUUGAAGGAAACCACCGCUAAUGGGAAACACCGCUCAAGCAGCUGGACUCACACACAAAGCGUUCGUCAACAAAGGACUUGCAAUUGUCAGACAAAACACAACAGGAAUUCUGCUAAUUUGGAUUUCACAUUCAAAGCUCAGAAGCAAAUAUCCAUUAUUAAUUUACAACCUGGAAAUGUUCUGGUAUUUUAAAGCGUAUCAAUAAACAGUCCUUUUAAAUAGCA